rnacentral:misc_RNA from 1 species
AUUCACUCUCCAAAUCUUCACAAAUCCAAUGAUAUCUGACGUCGAUGUAUUUUGUUCUUGCAUGGUACAUCUAGUUCUUACUCAAAUCUAUUGUACUCUAGCUGUCACAAUAGACAAUAUACUCCAUGUGAUUCAAACCAAGCUCUUGAAGAAAUUGUCUGAGUCAUAUCAACUCCUUGCCAGCUUUAGUAGACGCAAUAUACUGAGCUUCAGUUGUAGAUAGUGCAACACACUUUUGCAGCUUCAACUGCCAUGAAAUAGCUCCCCCUGGGACAGAUCUAUAAAGAUCUGUUCCUUAUCCUAAUGCCUCGUUUUUAUAUGUCGGUUGUUGUUAUUGCUGAAGGAUGGGGCGAAGCUGGGCUGGUUGGUGCAGUUGCUGCUGACUUUGCCGGUCGGAACAGCAUUGUCGGCUGCUGUCUCCACUGGUUGCUGCAUCUUUUCUGCCUGGUGGUUUUGUUCUCGCUGCUGCUGCUGGAGAAACUGCACCAUUGCUAGAGGUGCACUGGUCACUGCUGCCUGGCAGUCCUGCAAAAGGGAGUGGAAAAAAUAUGGAGGAGAAGAAGAGGGAAAGAGGGAGAAGGAGACGGCGGCGCCUGGCUGUUGCCGGUGUACUCGCCUGACCGGAGCUGCUGGUUGUCGUCGCCUUCCUGCUUGUUUCGCCGGCUGGAGAGAAGGGCGAGUAGAGAGGGAGAGAACGGGAAGAGGAAUAGAGAAGAAGAGGGAGAGGGGGAAAGAGGAAGGAAGAGAGAAGCGAGAAUGAGAUAAAGGGAAAGAGAAGGGAACAAGGCGGCCAGCAGCUGCUGGCUGGCCGGGGGAAAAAGAAGAGGGGUCGCCGGAGAGAGAGAGGGAGAGGGGCUGGCGGCUGAUGUUGCCAAGGAGGGGGAGGGAGAAAGAGGGAAGGGUUGCCGGAAAAGAAAAGGGAAGAGAGAAAGGGAAGGCGGCGCUGAUAGAGAGGAGGGAGAAGAGAAGGAGAGAGGAGAGAGGAGGUCUGG